UGGGGAAUAUUGGACAAUGGGCGCAAGCCUGAUCCAGCCAUGCCGCGUGAGUGAUGAAGGCCCUAGGGUUGUAAAGCUCUUUCACCGGUGAAGAUAAUGACGGUAACCGGAGAAGAAGCCCCGGCUAACUUCGUGCCAUCAUCCGCGGUAAUACGAAGGGGGCUAGCGUUGUUCGGAUUUACUGGGCGUAAAGCGCACGUAGGCGGACUUUUAAGUCAGGGGUGAAAUCCCGGGGCUCAACCCCGGAACUGCCUUUGAUACUGGAAGUCUUGAGUAUGGUAGAGGUGAGUGGGAUUCCGAGUGUAGUGGUGAGAUUCGUAGAUAUUCGGAGGAACACCAGGAACGAAGGCGGCUCUCUGGACCAUUACUGACGCUGAGGUGCGAAAGCAUGGGGUGCAAACAGG
rnacentral:rRNA from 1 species